rnacentral:tRNA from 1 species
GGAUACGUGCCUGAAUAAAGGACCACCUUGAUAGGGUGAAAAAUAGAGGUUAAAUUCCCCUCGUCUCCU